rnacentral:rRNA from 1 species
UACGGAGGAUGCGAGCGUUAUCCGGAUUUAUUGGGUUUAAAGGGUGCGUAGGCGGACUGUCAAGUCAGCGGUAAAAUUGAGAGGCUCAACCUCUUCCCGCCGUUGAAACUGGUGGUCUUGAGUGGAUGAGAAGUACGCGGAAUGCGUGGUGUAGCAGUGAAAUGCAUAGAUAUCACACAGAACUCCGAUUGCGAAGGCAGCGUACCGGCAUCCAACUGACGCUGAGGCACGAAAGCGUGGGUAUCGAACAGG